rnacentral:rRNA from 1 species
UAGCGAAGGGGGCUAGCGUUGUUCGGAAUACUGGGCGAAAGCGCGCGCAGGCGGUUCUUCAAGUCAGAGGUGAAACGCCCAGAGCUCAACUCUGGAAUGGCCUUUGAGACUAGAGAACUAGGGUACGGGAGAGGUGAGUGGAAUUCCGAGUGUAGAGGUGAAAUUCGUAGAUAUUCGGAAGAACACCAGUGGCGAAGGCG